UGCAGCAUGUUUGAGAAACAAACAUUUCACAAGAGAAUGUGCUAGGCUUUCCUUGUAAGUUCCAACGUGUGCAACACAUACAUUUUCUAAAGGUUGCUAUGUUGUUUUCCUUAUGGUGUUAGCGCCAGCAAACACAUAUAUAUGCAUAUACACGAUCUGCCAUGGAUAAAUAAAAUUCAUAUGCGGAAGCAAAUUACAGGGGAGAACGUCAUAUAAGUCAUAAACACGCCAGUUUCCUCCGGAUAAUAGCAAAUUAGAGAUUUCUUCAAAGUGAAGUAAGGUGGAAAAGGAUUAUUUCUUGGCAUAUAAGGCUAAAAGAGCGACGAGACGAACGAGUUACGAAUAGCCGCUAACAGGUAUGUAGAGCUUCCCUUCCCUUCUUUUGGCAUGACCUUUAUGGAAUGAACAAAUAAUGUAUACGUAUGCUUCUAAAGAAAAUUCUAUUCUUAGCGCCACUAGGAUGGCCGAUGUCUUUGAUUUCCGUAAAUAUUCCAUGCGGUUUGAUAUGUAUAUAUGAUGUUCGAAAGUCCUCGUUGGUAUAUUUCCGAAUGUGUUCGAAAGAAAAUGGAUAUGACUUAAGUCUUUGAUAAAUAUUUUGGUACGUAUAUAUGGUUCCAAAGUCUCCAUUUGGUUUGAUCCAUAAUGAUAUUUGAAAACUACCUAAUAUGUUUGUUACUUGAAUUUCUAAAUAUGGCUUGUGGAAUAAUUUUUAGAAGGUUCCGAACUUCAAAAGCUCGUAAUUUUUGUAUCCUAAUUCUGAUUGACCCGAUACUUGUUUCUGAGCUUCCUGAUAUCGGUAUAGACAUAUUUAUUUAUCGAUUCUCGGAAUUUAUUUACUUAUAUGCAUAUGAUUUCUGCACUACUCCGCUCGUGCAUACUACUAUUACAUCGUUCGCCGGAUCCCGGGCCGGUUAUGGUUCGUGCGCACUAUGAUAAAUUCGGCCGUAUGCUGUGUUACGGUUCCCGAGACCUCGCCAUAGGGCCGGGUUCCGUUUGGAGUUAUGCUGUGAUAUGGCUGGUGAUAUGUUAUGAUGAUAUGUGUGUAUUCGGGGAUGUACGGAGAUUUGAACCUUCUGGUGUUAUGCUGUGUGUGGCACCAGCGUCGGAGUGGUGACCACGUUCCUGAGCUUUGCAUGAUUUUAUCUGCAUUACGUAUAUAUGUUUUUGGCACAGAUUUUGAUAUACUGGUCAGUAUUCCCCUUUCGUGUCCUGUUUGUUUUCAGUUGUGGUUUACAUUUCUGUACUCUAUGCUUUACAUACUCAGUACAUCUUUCGUACUGACCCCCUUUCUUCGGGGGGCUGCGUUUUCAUGCCCGCAGGUACAGAGAUUCGUGAUCUGCCAGCGUAGGCCACACGUUCUGCUAUUACCGAGUGCUCCUUUUGAUCCGGAGCCCAUUUGUCGGUAUAUGUCUUUUGUGAUGUAUAUGCAUCUGUAUAUUUGACUAUUUGGGGUACGGCGGGGCCUUGUCCCGUCAUAUGUUUUCGUUCUGUAUGUGUAGAGGCUUGUAGUCAUAUAUGUGGGUCGAGGGUCCUAUAUGUGUCUGCUUUGUUUACGAUCUGUGUCUUAAUGCGGUCCGUCUGUUAUGGUGGCCAAAAUGGCCCAUAUGUUUGUAUCUGUACAUAUGAUCGGCGACGUGCAUUCCGCCGCUCCUUCUGUUUUAAUAUGAUAUUUUGGUAUGCGCGACCGCUUAAGACAA